rnacentral:rRNA from 1 species
UACGGGGGGGGCGAGCGUUGUUCGGAAUUACUGGGCGUAAAGGGUUUGUAGGUGGCCUGCUAAGUCAGACGUGAAAUCCCUCAGCUUAACUGGGGAACUGCGUCUGAUACUGGCGGGCUUGAGGACAGGAGAGGAACGCGGAAUUCCAGGUGUAGCGGUGAAAUGCGUAGAUAUCUGGAGGAACACCGGUGGCGAAGGCGGCAUCCUGGACCGGUAUUGACGCUGAGGCGCGAAAGCUAGGGGAGCAAACGGG